rnacentral:rRNA from 1 species
CGCUGGCGGCGUGCUUAACACAUGCAAGUCGAACGCGAAAGGGACUUCGGUCCCGAGUAAAGUGGCGCACGGGUGAGUAACGCGUUAGAUAACCUGUCUUCAUGUCUGGAAUAAUACGCCGAAAGGGGUACUAAUACCGGAUAUUCUUGCUUUUUCGAUAAGUUAUGCAAGCAAAGGUGGCCUCUGCAUAUGCUACUGCAUGAAGAGGGGUCUGCGUACCAUUUAGCUAGUAGGUGGGGUAAUGGCCUACCUAGGCGACGAUGGUUUAGCGGGGUACUGAGAGGAUGAUCCGCCACACUGGCACUGGAACACGGGCCAGACUCCUACGGGAGGCAGCAGUGAGGAAUAUUGCGCAAUGGGGGAAACCCUGACGCAGCGACGGCCGCGUGAGUGAAGGGAAGGCCUUCGGGUCGUAAAGCUCUGUCAAGAGGAAAGAAGUGUACAAUGGCUAAUACCUGUUGUAUUUGACGGUACCUCUAAAGGAAGCACCGGCUAACUCCGUGCCAGCCGCUGC